UGGGAAAAUGUCUAUUCAAUUCCAUUGCCCAUUUUUUAACCAAGUUAUUUGUUUUGUGUGUUUGUUUGUUACUGUGUCAUAAGAGUUCCUUAUAUAUUUUGGAUAGUAACCCUUCAUCAUACAUAUGGUUUGGAGAUAGUUUCUCCCAUUCCAUAAGUUUCCUUUUCAUUUUGUUGACUGUUUGCUGUGCACAACUUUUUAGUUUGAUUUAGUUUAGUCCCACUUGUCUAUUUUUUCUUUAGUUGCCUGUGCUUUUGGUGUCAUAUCCAGGAAAUCACUGCCAAGGCCAACACUGACAGAAUCUUAAUCUUGGACUUCUAGCCUCCAAAACUAUGAUCCAAGAUGACACAUUUUAAUCAAAGAAACACUUGAUAGAGGAAUGGCUGUAGAAUGAGAAGAAGAGGCAGAAAAAGAGUCUGCUGACCUCUGCUCUGAUGCAUAGCAGAAAACAAUGUCUCUUACUCCAUCAGGAAGAUGUGAAGGACUAAGCUUUAUCCCAGUACUAGG